GCUUGUGUUUCAGUGCCGGCGGAUCGUCUCCAAGACUCGACUAUGCGGUCCCUGCUGCUCCUGGCCUCGCUGGCCUGGCUUCUUCUGGCCCAGGCGAAGGACGACGCCAAGCUGGAGGACAACCUUUUGGUCCUCACCGUGGCCACAAAAGAGACAGAGGGCUUCCGCCGAUUCAAGCGCUCAGCCCAGUUCUUCAACUACAAGAUCCAGGUGAGGGC
rnacentral:lncRNA from 1 species